CCUACGGGAGACAGCAGUGAGGAAUAUUGGUCAAUGGACGAGAGUCUGAACCAGCCAAGUAGCGUGAGGGAUGACUGCCCUAUGGGUUGUAAACUUCUUUUGUAAGGGAGUAAGACGAAGGACGGGUGCCGCUGUGCGUGUACUUGAUGAAUAAGGAUCGGCUAACUCCGUGCCAGCAGCCGCGGUAAUACGGAGGAUGCGAGCGUUAUCCGGAUUUAUUGGGUUUAAAGGGAGCGUAGGUGGGUGGUUAAGUCAGUGGUGAAAGUUUGCGGCUCAACCGUCAAAUUGCAAUUGAAACUGGCAGUCUUGAGUACAGUAGAGGUAAGCGGAAUGCGUGGUGUAGCGGUGAAAUGCUUAGAUAUCACGAAGAACCCCGAUUGCGAAGGCAGCUUACUAAACUGUGACUGACAUUGAUGCUCGAAAGUGUGGGUAUCAAACAGGAUUAGAUACCCUUGUAGUC
rnacentral:rRNA from 1 species